GUUAUAGCGCCUGAUGAGACGCUCAUCAGAUCCAAGAAAAGGUUUUGGUUGCUACAGACAGCAGGACGAUGGCCAUGGAAGUCGGAACCCUCUAAGGAGUAUGUAACAACUCACCUGAGCUACUUGCCUUUUUUCAACUGAAACCUUCAGUACGUGC
rnacentral:ncRNA from 1 species